AACUGUUUCAAAAGUAUCAGCUAUGGUGUCAGCCUGCUGUGUUAGAUGGAAGGCAUUGGAGCUUAGCUUCUCAUGUUUUCUUGUACAAAUUGGCUUUAUUCAGAUUUGUAAGAGUGUCAAUGUAAAAGUCUUUCUUACUGGAAUAUCCUUUACAGAAGGUUGAGAUAGUCAUCUGAGCCUUUUUAAAAGAAAAAACUGCAGGUGAAAAAGGAGUUAGUUGAUUUGAAAGUUUUAGUGAAAUUCUGGGUUGUAUAAAUAAGAAGUUGCUAGGAAUUGGCAAGGUAGUGAAGUGGUGACUCACACAGGUAAUGUAAUUGUUAGAUUUUUUAGCAAAUCAGGAAUAUGUCAAUAUAUAAGUACAAUGUUGAAUUCAAACAAUCUGUUGAAUUAAAUUCUGUUAAUUAGAAUAAUUCUAAUUUAAGAAAAAUUCCAAACUGUAGAUUUAUUUUUCUCUGAUCAGUAAAAAGAAAAUGAGUUCCAGCUUGACUUUAGCUGUUCAAGUGAGAAGUCUGAGGAAGUGCAUGUUAAUGAGCCAGUGACCCAUAGGUAGCUGGGUUAAAGACACUUUGGAUUUGGAUAAUCCGGGAAGCAAUUAAUCCCUAAUUGUUGAACAGGCAGUCCUGGGUAAAGAGGACCUAAAAUGCUGCACUAUUAACAGCAUUAGACGGCCAGGUUUGUACUUCAUAGAUUUAGGCUGUCUUCUUCACAAGUUUUAGAAAAAGAAUUUAGGAGCUAGAGCCCUGGUGCAGGAUCAACAGCAGCUCAUACUCCUAUUUUAAAAUAAUUUGAUCGUGGCCUCCCUUCAGUUUUAAUGUGGCACUGGUAAAUCUACCUGGUUCUGGCAUGCUUCACUUUGAUUUCCUGCUAUCCUCUACUGCUUGCCUCUAAAUCAAGGUAAAGAGCAGAGCAGGUAUGUAUUAAUGUCACAUUGUCUUGAUUAUUUUAAAUACUUAAAAUAUACAUGUUAAACCUUGGUAUUAGUUUCACAGGCAGUUUACUUUUCAGUACAUAAUUUAACAGGAGUGACUUGGUGGGAGUGGGGCUUUAAACUGAAAAUUGGAACAACAGCAUGAUGUGGAGAAAAGUUGUGCAGCAUUAAGUACAUGCAAAAAUUAAGUAACCAAGUUUUGUCUAUAUAGCAGAUAUGUUUACAUUGGAUGUCAAAAGUAACACAGUAUUUGAUAUAAUUACAGAUAAUUGUGAUCUACAUUUUAAAAUAUCAAGAGAUCGUCUCAGUGCUUCUUCCCUUACAAUGGAGAGUUUUGCUUUUCUUUGGGCUGGAGGAAGAGCAUCCUAUGGUGUGUCAAAAGGCAAAGUGUGUUUUGAGAUGAAGGUUACAGAGAAGAUCCCAGUAAGGCAUUUAUAUACAAAAGAUAUUGACAUACAUGAAGUUCGUAUUGGCUGGUCACUAACUACAAGUGGAAUGUUACUUGGUGAAGAAGAAUUUUCUUAUGGGUAUUCUCUAAAAGGAAUAAAAACAUGCAACUGUGAGACUGAAGAUUAUGGAGAAAAGUUUGAUGAAAAUGAUGUGAUUACAUGUUUUGCUGUAAGUUAAAGCUAACUUUCUAUGUAUAAAUGGCAAAGUUAGUAGCUAUAUCUAGGAACUUUAAAGAAGCUUUACUGAGGUCAGUUUUCAAUAUGAGCAACAAAAUACACCAGUCCCUGGAUUAGUGUAAAGACUUCAUUCAGCAGUUGAAUUGGGAAAACACAGGACAUUUUUGAGGAACUCACUAAUUCAUUUUGACUGAAAACAGUGAGCAUGAAAUUGACCUAGAAAAUUUAGUCUAGCUUCUAGAUCAGUAUUGUUUCUGGUUCUGGAGAUACGUGCUUCAUGGUUUACAACCAUCAGAUUUCUUAACUGUGUAGCCCUUAAAGGCCACCUAAUAGUUCUUUAACCUGUAGCUUCCACAGGAUAAGCUUUGCUCCUAAUUUUAAUUCUUAGUUUUUUAGAAAGUUUAAGGAAGCAGAUUUUAACUGUUGAAUUUUUUUCUGUGUAACAGAACUUUGAAAGUGAUGAAGUAGAACUCUCGUAUGCUAAGAAUGGACAAGAUCUUGGCGUUGCCUUCAAAAUCAGUAAGGAAGUUCUUGCUGGACGGCCACUGUUCCCGCAUGUUCUCUGCCACAACUGUGCAGUUGAAUUUAAUUUUGGUCAGAAGGAAAAGCCAUAUUUUCCAAUACCUGAAGAGUAUACUUUCAUCCAGAACGUCCCCUUAGAGGAUCGAGUUAG
rnacentral:sRNA from 1 species